AUUGAACGCUGGCGGCAGGCCUAACACAUGCAAGUCGAGCGGAUGAAGGGAGCUUGCUCCUGGAUUCAGCGGCGGACGGGUGAGUAAUGCCUAGGAAUCUGCCUGGUAGUGGGGGAUAACGUCCGGAAACGGGCGCUAAUACCGCAUACGUCCUGAGGGAGAAAGUGGGGGAUCUUCGGACCCCACGCUAUCAGAUGAGCCUAGGUCGGAUUAGCUAGUUGGUGGGGUAAAGGCCUACCAAGGCGACGAUCCGUAACUGGUCUGAGAGGAUGAUCAGUCACACUGGAACUGAGACACGGUCCAGACUCCUAUGGGAGGCAGCAGUGGGGAAUAUUGGACAAUGGGCGAAAGCCUGAUCCAGCCAUGCCGCGUGUGUGAAGAAGGUCUUCGGAUUGUAAAGCACUUUAAGUUGGGAGGAAGGGCAGUAAGUUAAUACCUUGCUGUUUUGACGUUACCAACAGAAUAAGCACCGGCUAACUUCGUG
rnacentral:rRNA from 1 species